CAUAUGUUUGCCACACGUCACAGCCCUGCCAUGAGGAUGUGUGAGAGCUUCCACAAGGUUCCAAUGCUACAGAAAUUUAUGCUUAUGUGGUGUGCCUCAUGGUAAUACUGGAAGUCUCCUGUAUCUACAUGCGCUGUAUGGACUGUAUGUGAACAGUUUGUCAGUACAGAUUCCUGACAGCCUUUAUUACUACAAUGAAGACUAUCUUCCUCCCUCGUAUUUUAGAAACAAUCUGAUAGCAAAGAGGUUGUACACGCACAAGAAAAAUUAUUUUGCUUAAAGUAUUACAGAAAUUUUAAUAGAUCCACAGCAAUGAUUUGGCCAACAUAAUUAUUUUCAGGCUUGAAGCAAACUUCAGUUCCAAAUACUAACAAA